GUAAAAGCUCAAAUUUGAAAUCUGGUACUUUCAGUGCCCGAGUUGUAAUUUGUAGAAUUUGUCUUUGAUUAGGUCCUUGUCUAUGUUCCUUGGAACAGGACGUCAUAGAGGGUGAGAAUCCCGUUUGGCGAGGAUACCUUUUCUCUGUAAGACUUUUUCGAAGAGUCGAGUUGUUUGGGAAUGCAGCUCAAAGUGGGUGGUAAAUUCCAUCUAAAGCUAAAUAUUGGCGAGAGACCGAUAGCGAACAAGUACAGUGAUGGAAAGAUGAAAAGAACUUUGAAAAGAGAGUGAAAAAGUACGUGAAAUUGUUGAAAGGGAAGGGCAUUUGAUCAGACAUGGUGUUUUUUGCAUGCACUCGCCUCUCGUGGGCUUGGGCCUCUCAAAAAUUUCACUGGGCCAACAUCAAUUCUGGCAGUAGGAUAAAUCAUUAAGAAUGUAGCUACCUCGGUAGUGUUAUAGCUUAUUGGAAUACUGCUAGCUGGGAUUGAGGACUGCGCUUCGGCAAGGAUGUUGGCAUAAUGGUUAAAUGCCGCCCGUCUUGAAACCGGACCA
rnacentral:rRNA from 1 species